rnacentral:rRNA from 1 species
CUACGCACUCCUACGGGAGGCAGCAGUGGGGAAUAUUGCACAAUGGGCGCAAGCCUGAUGCAGCCAUGCCGCGUGUAUGAAGAAGGCCUUCGGGUUGUAAAGUACUUUCAGCAGUGAGGAAGGUGGGUAUGUUAAUAGCAUAUUCAUUUGACGUUAGCUGCAGAAGAAGCACCGGCUAACUCCGUGCCAGCAGCCGCGGUAAUACGGAGGGUGCGAGCGUUAAUCGGAAUUACUGGGCGUAAAGCGCAUGCAGGUGGUUUGUUAAGUCAGAUGUGAAAGCCCCGGGGCUCAACCUCGGAAUUUGCAUUUGAAACUGGCAAACUAGAGUACUGUAGAGGGGGUAGAAUUUCAGGUGUAGCGGUGAAAUGCGUAGAGAUCUGAAGGAAUACCGGUGGCGAAGGCGGCCCCCCUGGNACAGAUACUGACACUCAGAUGACGAAAGCGGUGGGAGACAACAGGAUUAGAUACCCUGGUAG